CACGUAGGGGGCAAGCGUUGUCCGGAUUUAUUGGGCGUAAAGAGCUCGUAGGCGGCUUAGUAAGUCGGGUGUGAAACCUCCAGGCUCAACCUGGAGACGCCACCCGAUACUGCUGUGGCUAGAGUCCGGUAGGGGAGCGUGGAAUUCCUGGUGUAGCGGUGAAAUGCGCAGAUAUCAGGAGGAACACCAGCGGCGAAGGCGGCGCUCUGGGACGGUACUGACGCUGAGACGCGAAAGCGUGGGGAGCGAACAGG
rnacentral:rRNA from 1 species